rnacentral:rRNA from 1 species
UUAAGUUAUUAAGGGCGCACGGUGGAUGCCUUGGCACUAGAAGCCGAUGAAGGACGUUACUAACGACGAUAUGCUUUGGGGAGCUGUAAGUAAGCUUUGAUCCAGAGAUUUCCGAAUGGGGAAACCCAGCAUGAGUUAUGUCAUGUUAUCGAUAUGUGAAUACAUAGCAUAUCAGAAGGCACACCCGGAGAACUGAAACAUCUUAGUACCCGGAGGAAGAGAAAGAAAAUUCGAUUCCCUUAGUAGCGGCGAGCGAAACGGGAAGAGCCCAAACCAAAAAGCUUGCUUGUUGGGGUUGUAGGACACUCUAUACGGAGUUACAAAGGACGACAUUAGACGAAUCAUCUGGAAAGAUGAAUCAAAGAAGGUAAUAAUCCUGUAGUCGAAAAUGUUGUCUCUCUUGAGUGGAUCCUGAGUACGACGGAGCACGUGAAAUUCCGUCGGAAUCUGGGAGGACCAUCUCCUAAGGCUAAAUACUCUCUAGUGACCGAUAGUGAACCAGUACCGUGAGGGAAAGGUGAAAAGCACCCCGGAAGGAGAGUGAAAUAGAACCUGAAACCGUGUGCUUACAAGUAGUCAGAGCCCGUUAAUGGGUGAUGGCGUGCCUUUUGUAGAAUGAACCGGCGAGUUACGAUUUGAUGCAAGGUUAAGCAGUAAAUGUGGAGCCGUAGCGAAAGCGAGUCUGAAUAGGGCGUUUAGUAUUUGGUCGUAGACCCGAAACCAGGUGAUCUACCCUUGGUCAGGUUGAAGUUCAGGUAACACUGAAUGGAGGACCGAACCGACUUACGUUGAAAAGUGAGCGGAUGAACUGAGGGUAGCGGAGAAAUUCCAAUCGAACCUGGAGAUAGCUGGUUCUCUCCGAAAUAGCUUUAGGGCUAGCCUCAAGUGAUGAUUAUUGGAGGUAGAGCACUGUUUGGACGAGGGGCCCCUCUCGGGUUACCGAAUUCAGACAAACUCCGAAUGCCAAUUAAUUUAACUUGGGAGUCAGAACAUGGGUGAUAAGGUCCGUGUUCGAAAGGGAAACAGCCCAGACCACCAGCUAAGGUCCCAAAAUAUAUGUUAAGUGGAAAAGGAUGUGGCGUUGCCCAGACAACUAGGAUGUUGGCUUAGAAGCAGCCAUCAUUUAAAGAGUGCGUAAUAGCUCACUAGUCGAGUGACACUGCGCCGAAAAUGUACCGGGGCUAAACAUAUUACCGAAGCUGUGGAUUGUCCUUUGGACAAUGGUAGGAGAGCGUUCUAAGGGCGUUGAAGCAUGAUCGUAAGGACAUGUGGAGCGCUUAGAAGUGAGAAUGCCGGUGUGAGUAGCGAAAGACGGGUGAGAAUCCCGUCCACCGAUUGACUAAGGUUUCCAGAGGAAGGCUCGUCCGCUCUGGGUUAGUCGGGUCCUAAGCUGAGGCCGACAGGCGUAGGCGAUGGAUAACAGGUUGAUAUUCCUGUACCACCUAUAAUCGUUUUAAUCGAUGGGGGGACGCAGUAGGAUAGGCGAAGCGUGCGAUUGGAUUGCACGUCUAAGCAGUAAGGCUGAGUAUUAGGCAAAUCCGGUACUCGUUAAGGCUGAGCUGUGAUGGGGAGAAGACAUUGAGUCUUCGAGUCGUUGAUUUCACACUGCCGAGAAAAGCCUCUAGAUAGAAAAUAGGUGCCCGUACCGCAAACCGACACAGGUAGUCAAGAUGAGAAUUCUAAGGUGAGCGAGCGAACUCUCGUUAAGGAACUCGGCAAAAUGACCCCGUAACUUCGGGAGAAGGGGUGCUCUUUAGGGUUAACGCCCAGAAGAGCCGCAGUGAAUAGGCCCAAGCGACUGUUUAUCAAAAACACAGGUCUCUGCUAAACCGUAAGGUGAUGUAUAGGGGCUGACGCCUGCCCGGUGCUGGAAGGUUAAGAGGAGUGGUUAGCUUCUGCGAAGCUACGAAUCGAAGCCCCAGUAAACGGCGGCCGUAACUAUAACGGUCCUAAGGUAGCGAAAUUCCUUGUCGGGUAAGUUCCGACCCGCACGAAAGGCGUAACGAUUUGGGCACUGUCUCAACGAGAGACUCGGUGAAAUCAUAGUACCUGUGAAGAUGCAGGUUACCCGCGACAGGACGGAAAGACCCCGUGGAGCUUUACUGUAGCCUGAUAUUGAAAUUCGGCACAGCUUGUACAGGAUAGGUAGGAGCCUUUGAAACGUGAGCGCUAGCUUACGUGGAGGCGCUGGUGGGAUACUACCCUAGCUGUGUUGGCUUUCUAACCCGCACCACUUAUCGUGGUGGGAGACAGUGUCAGGCGGGCAGUUUGACUGGGGCGGUCGCCUCCUAAAAGGUAACGGAGGCGCUCAAAGGUUCCCUCAGAAUGGUUGGAAAUCAUUCAUAGAGUGUAAAGGCAUAAGGGAGCUUGACUGCGAGACCUACAAGUCGAGCAGGGUCGAAAGACGGACUUAGUGAUCCGGUGGUUCCGCAUGGAAGGGCCAUCGCUCAACGGAUAAAAGCUACCCCGGGGAUAACAGGCUUAUCUCCCCCAAGAGUUCACAUCGACGGGGAGGUUUGGCACCUCGAUGUCGGCUCAUCGCAUCCUGGGGCUGUAGUCGGUCCCAAGGGUUGGGCUGUUCGCCCAUUAAAGCGGUACGCGAGCUGGGUUCAGAACGUCGUGAGACAGUUCGGUCCCUAUCCGUCGUGGGCGUAGGAAAUUUGAGAGGAGCUGUCCUUAGUACGAGAGGACCGGGAUGGACAUACCUCUGGUGUACCAGUUGUCGUGCCAACGGCAUAGCUGGGUAGCUAUGUGUGGACGGGAUAAGUGCUGAAAGCAUCUAAGCAUGAAGCCCCCCUCAAGAUGAGAUUUCCCAACUUCGGUUAUAAGAUCCCUCAAAGAUGAUGAGGUUAAUAGGUUCGA